UAUUUCCCCAUUGCGUUCAUCUAAACAAAAUAGUCAAGUCGCACUCGCACCGAUACUUUUCUUCAAUCGUAAUAAAAAUUGGCACAAAGCAAUCAGAAUCACGAGACGCUGCUGACUUUUGUUCUCCAGUAAUAGUUGGGUAGACGUUCAUUGCUGAUUUCAAGCAAUGGAAAAACAAUCCGGAGAUGUACCAGCAGAUUCAUCCGCUUCGUCGCAAAAUCUCCAGAAUUGGAUUGCUGCACAAGAUUUUCUCAGGACUAAACUGAUCAUAGAAGAUAGUUUCACAUGGAAACUAAACCCACCUAUUGGCACAAGCAGACGGGCAGCUGAUUCUGAAAGGAGACCAGGAGCGUUGGAAGUGUUAAGCUAUGUAGGUGGGGUUGAUAUAAGCUUCUCUAAGGAUGACCCAUCAAUGGCAUGCGGCACCCUUGUAGUAUUGGACUUUCCAACUUUACAAGUUGUCUACGAGGACUUCUCUUUGGUCACUGUUCAUGUCCCUUACGUUCCCGGUUUCCUUGCAUUUAGAGAGGCGCCUGUUCUUCUAGAGCUUCUGGAGAAAAUGAAAAGAAGCAACAAUUCUUUCUACCCACAGUUGUUAUUUGUCGAUGGAAAUGGAAUACUCCAUCCUCGAGGUUUUGGCCUGGCCUGUCAUCUUGGAGUUGUGGCUGAUCUGCCAACAAUUGGGAUAGGAAAGAAUCUGCAUCAUGUGGAUGGUCUUAAUCAAUCUAGAGUGAGACAGCUUCUAGAAGCUGAAGAAAACCAUGCUAAGGAUUUUAUUACUUUGGCAGGAUGUUCCGGGCAUAUAUGGGGGGCGGCCGUGAGAUCUACACAGGGAUCUGUAAAGCCAAUAUUUGUUUCAAUUGGUCAUCGGAUAUCACUUCCCACUGCUAUUGCAAUUGUUCUGAUGACUUCCAAAUAUCGUGUGCCCGAGCCCAUUAGGCAGGUGAAACUUUUUGCCACUUGAGAAUUGGAAGCACAAGAAGUCUACUGAAUUCAUUGUAGGGAUAUAAUACAUAUAUCUUACCAGUCUAAGGACAACAAUAAUAUUGCACCAAGCAGAUAAAUCUUCUUCAACUGAAUGGCAGGCUGACAUAAGAUCUAGAGACUAUAUCCGGAAGCUUCAAACAAACCCCCGAAUUAUGUAACUUUACUAUGGUAUGCUGCUAUUCAGUAUUCACUUUAAACACCUCAUUGAGCUAAAAUGAUUUGAAUUUUGCAGUAGCCUGGCGUUUUAAGUAGUUAAAUCAUCAUAAUUUUUCACAGCCAGGUAUAUGGUUGAAUGAACCCAAGGACUUGCCUUUAAUAUAAUUUAUCUCUUGAACCAUUCACCUGAUACAAUCCUGGCACAAACUAGAAUGAUGCAGAUUUUAUCUCGUCUUUUGCACUCAUUUAUCUCAUUGUUGAGAUAAAGUAUGAUGUGAUUGGACUAUUUUAUAAUUUGUUGGUUCCCAACUCCUUUAUUCUGCACUGGAAUUCAAUGACUUCUUAUGUAAAUCUCUUUCAGGCUUUACCUUCUGGUAGGUUUGAUUAUGUCAUAAGGCUUGGGUGAGAUAAAAUAAUAAAGUUAGACAGGCUAAUCAUACGCAAGGGACAUGGAUGAACUUUUUUGGUCAACCUGCUCUAUAUUUGCCAUGGAUGACUCGAAAUGCGUGGAUAGGACCAGCAAGUGAAAUUAAACGGUCAAACCAAGGACGCUGGAACAUCUUAGCUUCAUAGCUUGGUUGUGAGUAUUCAAUCACCUGCUCAGACCUCAGUAAAUACUUGAACCGUCUCUGCAGUUUAGUUGUGUCCUCGUCUCUGACAAGCUACAGCAUAAUGGUCAAUUUAACUGAAAGCGGUAUCCCAUCCAUUCAGCCAGUUUAUAUAUAAAUGGCUCCCAAAAGGAAAGGAAUGUGAGACUACAUCCUAAAAAGUAGUGCUAGAGCGUCUUUGAUCUUUAAAAGGUUUGUAAACAAUUAAUAGAUAUAUCUUGUUUGGAAGGCUGUGACAUAACUGAGAAAGUGACCGGAUCUGUAGCUCUGGGUUGACCUGUCAUAAAUUUUUUAUUUCAUAUCGAUAAGUAUAUCAUUUUUUUUUU